GAGAUAGAUAGAUGAUAGAUAAAAAAAGAAAAUCAAAUGUUAAUGAAAAGCGAUAAUAUUAUGCACAUCAAUUAUAACUAGAAGCUUUGCAAAAUACUAUAAAUAAUCCAGUAUCACCUUAUAACAAAGUAAAUGUAUAAAAUAUUAGAGAAAAACUAUAGCUCCCAUCUUUGAAUUCUUUAUACUGCCUAACUUGUUCUUUCCUCCUCAUGUUCCAAAGAACAUCUUCUAAUGAUUUAUUUAAAACUUAAAUCCUACAGUGAACAUCAACUAAUUUAUAAGCAAAUUUUUUCCCCAUACUCAUAAUCUUUUAGGGCAAACAGAAAUUUCUUAUUUUGUCACUCGUUAUAGAAAUUCUUUUCAUUUUCCUCAUUUGAAUAGUGAUGCAACUUUAGUUUAGGCCACAGCACCAAGUUUAUGUUAGAUCUGAGCUAAAGGACGGUUUUGACAUUUUGACAAUGUUAAUAUAUGAGGAGUCAGAACUUGUGUGCAAGGACUGGAGGUCAAUUCUAUUAUAGGCUCUUUAAGGCCUUUUUAAGCAGGUCAUGUAAUAUUUAUGUACCAUAAUUUCCCAAUCUAUAUUAGUAGAGCUCUGUGUAUUUCCCAAGGGUGUUAUGAAACUAAGUAAAAAGAAGAAUAAACAUUACAUGUUUGUAUAAACUAUGCAGUACACAGCAAAUUCAAAAAGUUUACUACUAUAAUAAUAGAUGUACAAUUAGGAUAUGCCUCCAGAA